UACAGAGGGGGCAAGCGUUGUUCGGAAUUACUGGGCGUAAAGGGCGCGUAGGCGGCCGUCUAAGUCAGACGUGAAAUCCCUCGGCUCAACCGGGGAACUGCGUCUGAUACUGGGUGGCUUGAAUCCGGGAGGGGGAUGCGGAAUUCCAGGUGUAGCGGUGAAAUGCGUAGAUAUCUGGAGGAACACCGGUGGCGAAGGCGGCUCUCUGGACCGAUACUGACGCUGAGGCGCGAAAGCGUGGGGAGCAAACAGG
rnacentral:rRNA from 1 species